rnacentral:rRNA from 1 species
UACGAAGGGGGCUAGCGUUGCUCGGAAUCACUGGGCGUAAAGGGUGCGUAGGUGGGUCUGUAAGUCAGUGGUGAAAUCUCCGGGCUUAACCCGGAAACUGCCAUUGAUACUAUAGGUCUUGAAUAUCCUGGAGGUGAGCGGAAUAUGUCAUGUAGCGGUGAAAUGCUUAGAUAUGACAUAGAACACCAAUUGCGAAGGCAGCUCACUACGGGAUUAUUGACACUGAGGCACGAAAGCGUGGGGAUCAAACAGG